rnacentral:rRNA from 1 species
CCUGAGAAACCCAAAAGAUCGAUCGGGGAGAUUCAUCGUCAGCGAUUCUGGUACGUGCGCGGUUCGCGAUGCCGCGGGAUCUCGGUCCGGUGGCACGCGUCCGAGCAUGGUUUCAUUGCCAGGUGUCGUCGGCGUGCACUUCUCCCCUAGUAGGACGUCGCGACCCGUUGGGUGUCGGUCUACGGCACGGACGAUAAGCCUGUCGUGUGUCGCGCCUCGUGCCAACAUGCGGCAGACCCCCGUCGCCCGACCGGCUGCCCGGCGGUACUCGCACGGUAUCGAGUCGCAAAUAUUUUAACUGCGUCCGGCCCGCCGCAAGCGCGGUCAGUGUUUCCCGGAUGCGCGGACCUAGCGCCGUCACCGGGCCUGGCCAGCUGUUGGUCGGCGGUGUCCUGGGACUGGCUCGCAAUUUGAAUUAUGAUACCGGUCGGCGACGCUACUGCUUUGGGUACUUUCAGGACCCGUCUUGAAACACGGACCAAGGAGUCUAACAUGUGCGCGAGUCAUUGGGAGUUUUAAAGCCUAAAGGCGCAAUGAAAGUGAAGGUCGGCCUUGCGCCGACCGAGGGAGGAUGGGCCCCGUCACGACGCGGUCCCGCACUCCCGGGGCGUCUCGUUCUCAUUGCGAGAAGAGGCGCACCCAGAGCGUACACGUUGGGACCCAA